ensembl:lncRNA
AUGACCUCAAUCUCUUCGUGGGAUGUCAAGUGCCAAGCCCCACUUCAAGGUGUUGCAAGCCGAGGCCACCGAAGAUCAACCACACAGCCUUGGCACUCACUCUUCUCGUCAGCAUCUUCUCCCCUGCCUCUCCGCAUACUCCUCUCUUUAACCAAAUUCACUUAUUCUCCAGGUACCAACCACAACUUUCUUAGGGAAGGCUUCUCUGAUUUGCUGAGCCACUCUCCUGUAAUACUCUCUUUCUUUCAUAGCCUUAUCUUAUUCACAAUGAUGGAUUUAUUUAAUUACUUAGUAUUUCCACCCCACUCUGUUCAAAGUUCUAUUACCCUCUUAGCACAAUACUUGCCACACACUCAAUAAAGAAAGAAAGAAAGGGUCAAGGAAGUCUGGGGAUGUAUUUAUAGCAACAGGCUGCCAGGUAAAACUCAAUAUCCUCAUUCUUGCCAAAUCUGAGCUUGGUUUAAACAAGACUGACAACCAUUUAAAUGCCCUUCUUCGGGUUUUUGUUUCGUUUUGGUCAAUCUAAUGAUACAAGGAUGAAUGAAUUGGCUCUGUUGCCCCAUCUGGCUAGUAUUAAUAUAUUAAUGAUAUAAUGAAUAAACAUGGUAGUUGAGACUUUUCAGAGUCUAUCCCACUUCAUUUGCAUUUCUUUCUUUUUAAUGAGUGCAUCCUUCUGCCUUGUAACCUAUUUAGUUAUGUCUGUGUCCGUCACCCUCUCUUGUUGAUAAACCCUUGGAGGGCAGAGACACAUUUAACCUUUCAUUUAAUUAUGGGUUUCUUNNNNNNNNAUAGUAAAUGUUCAGUAUUACCUUGAGCAAAAUUUGUGAUCUUAUUUGAUCUUUAUAAUACCUCAAUGAUUUUGUUAGGCAGUGAGAGUCCUGCCCGAAAAACAAGAACACAAAUUUUGAGAAGCAAAAUGCGUGCCUGUGAAUGACUGUACAAUAAGGUAAACACUAUGCUCAAUCUAUAUUUUCUAAUACAUGACUUGGAAGAGCUUACUUAGAAGAGCACAUUAAAUUUGGGGCCCUUGAUUACCAGAAUGAUAUAAACAAACGAGAGGGAGUUCAGGUAGAAAAAUAAACAUGAUUAAGCUUCUGGAGGGGUAUGAAGGAAGAUUAAAUGAAUUAAAUAUUUAUGGUCUGGUUAAGUGAGGAUUCAGAGGGGAGGCAAAAAUGAUUUAUGGCUAGAAUUAUCUAACACACUUCAACACAGAUGACACAGAAUGCCACCGAGGGACAGUAGAUAGGUGGCAGGAGUCAUGGGAGGAAUAUUUAGAACAGACCAUCUAAGAGGAACUAUAAAAUGAAAUUUUAGCAGCAAGAGCUGAUAUGUUGCUGCAAAGUUUCCCAAGGGAAACAGUGAACAAAUCAUCCCAGGAGAUCUCUCAAACCAGAAGAGAAAAUAACUGGAAAUUGUCCUGCAGGGAACAGUGCGGCCCAAACAUUAGACAUGAAAAGGAAAGCUUUGCAGAUUUUCUCUCUAAUUUAUAUUCUUUUGGGAUCCCAUGAGGCUGAGCAGAGAUGUGGGAACAAUGGAUUGAGGACUCGGAGCGCAGGGGGUUCACUUAGAUGUCUCAGCCCUGGCUCACAUCUCUAAUGAGUCAGCACGGAGGCAGCAUCUCCAGAGAAGCCACUGCUAGCACAUCCAAGGCUUUAUUCCAACCAGGGCUUUUCAUUAGUGGGUCCCGUGGGAAGGGGUGAAACAAUUAGGAACCUCCCCCCAAAAUUAGGAGACACGCUUAUGAGCACUGAGCAGCGAUGGGUUUUGUGUGAAGCCCACAGUCAUAUACAUAACGUGAUCCUGGGUCUGUGUAUCUUUCCAUAUUGGAAAUAUACCCAGGUUCAAAUGGUCAGAUUAGGAUUUUUAACUCCUACUUGGUAUCUAUCAUUACAUCUCUGUGAUUCAAUCAUCCUUUAAUUCCAUUAUACUCAGGGGAUUUGUAAGGUUCCUCAAAUUAAGACUGGCACCCAGGAUCCAGCUUUCCUGUAUGCGACAUGCUGCAUAGAUAUAAUAAAUAGGAUAAACCAGGAUACUGUCAAGGAAACGGUUGCUCUAGGCAAUCAACAAUUCUACAGUGACUAAGGAUCUCUCUUCCAGCUUAAAAUUAGUGUUCAUUCUGGAAAGUUGUUUAGGGGAAGUCUGGACUAAGGUAAGCAUGAUACUGUAUUAGACAACAACCUCUUAAAAGUUAGAUGACCAACUGCAUGUACACCUAAAAGCAAAUGUUGCUUAGUAGGAAAAACAGAGUAACUAUUAAUAGCACUGAUGCCUCAAAGCAAACCGUUGCUCAGUUGGAAAAACAGCAUCAUAGAACUAGCUUGCUGAAAUCACUAAUGGCCAAUAUAUUUGUGGGGAAAGAAAUGUUCAACCUAAUUAACAAAAAAGGAAAUGCAAAUUAAAACCUNNNNNNNNNNNNNNNNNNNNNNNNNNNNNNNNNNNNNNNNNNNNNNNNNNNNNNNNNNNNNNNNNNNNNNNNNNNNNNNNNNNNNNNNNNNNNNNNNNNAAAAAAGGAAAUGCAAAUUAAAACCUCAAGGAGAUGCUAGUUCAUGUCCAGCAGAUGAGGGCAAAUAAAACACGUGACAGUACCAGACGUGGAACAAAGACAACUGUCUUAUGCUCCUGGUGGGAGUUUCAGUGCAUGCCACUUGCCAUUGUCCCUGAAAGUAAAGAUGCCCUUUGUAUGACUCAGCAACUUCACUGCUAUGUAUGCACUCCAGACAUGAUGGCGAAUUUGUUCCACAGUACAUGUAUGAAAACAUUCAUAGCCAUAUUUUUGGCAAUAGCAAAAUACUGACUUCCUAGAAGGUUAUCAAUGGUAGAGUGGAUUAAGAGUGAUUAAUUAGCAUCUUGAAAUAUUAUACAGCAGAGAAAGUGACUGAA